AGUGAACGCUGGCGGCGUGCCUAAUACAUGCAAGUCGAACGGAGUGGCGCACGGGUGAGUAAUAUAUAGCUAAUCUGCCCCUUGCUGGAGGACAACAGUUAGAAAUGUAUGCUAAUACUCCAUAGCAAGGGAUGAGACUAUAUCGUAUCAGCUAGUCGGUGGGGUAACGGCCUACCGAGGCUAUGACGCGUAACUGGUCUGAGAGGAUGAUGAGUCACAUUGGAACUGAGGCACGGUCCAAACUCCUACGGGAGGCAGCAGUAGGGAAUAUUGCGCAAUGGGGGAAACCCUGACGCAGCAACGCCGUGUAGAGGAUGACCCUUGUCGGAGCGUAAACUCCUUUUGUUAGGGAAGCGGUACCCAAAGAAUAAGCACCGGCUAACUCCGUGCCAGCCGCCGCGGUAAUUC
rnacentral:rRNA from 1 species